CCGACCUUAGCUCAGUUGGAAGAGCACAAGACUGUAAUUGGUUGCCACUUGUUGAUCUUGGGGUCGCCUGUUCGAACCAGGCAGGUCGGA